rnacentral:rRNA from 1 species
AGUGAACGCUGGCGGUAGGCCUAACACAUGCAAGUCGAACGGCAGCACAGUAAGAGCUUGCUCUUACGGGUGGCGAGAGGCGGACGGGUGAGGAAUACAUCGGAAUCUACUUUUUCGUGGGGGAUAACGUAGGGAAACUUACGCUAAUACCGCAUACGACCUACGGGUGAAGGCAGGGGAUCUUCGGACCUUGCGCGAUUGAAUGAGCCGAUGUCGGAUUAGCUAGUUGGCGGGGUAAAGGCCCACCAAGGCGACGAUCCGUAGCUGGUCUGAGAGGAUGAUCAGCCACACUGGAACUGAGACACGGUCCAGACUCCUACGGGAGGCAGCAGUGGGGAAUAUUGGACAAUGGGCGCAAGCCUGAUCCAGCCAUACCGCGUGGGUGAAGAAGGCCUUCGGGUUGUAAAGCCCUUUUGUUGGGAAAGAAAAGCAGCAGGUUAAUACCCCGCUGUUCUGACGGUACCCAAAGAAUAAGCACCGGCUAACUUCGUG